rnacentral:piRNA from 1 species
UAUUGGCUAUGUUCUGAGGUUGGUUC